AUUUUUUAUUUUCAAAUCAGAAAGAAGACCACGGUCCACUAGUGUUGCCCGGAAAUCUACUUUCCCAAUUUGCUUUUGUGAGAGAGAGAGAGAGAGAGAGAGAGAGGGAGGGAGGAGGGAGGAACGAGAGUCACGAGACACAGGGCAUGGUUGAUCAUGAGCUCUAAUCAAAGAGAUGCUUGGACAGAGAGCUCAACUUUCACCCAAAAUUCCGCCCACUUAUCUUGUGCGAGCAAAUUUUUGGUGUUUAAUCAAAGAGUUCUUCUUUUUACCAUCUUUCUCUGCUCCUUUGAGAUCCUGCACUCUGUUCGACCUUGAGCGCAUAUUUCAUCAUGCUUCUAUUGAAGGAUGAGGGUGCCAUCACUUUGGUAUAUUUAGGCGGCAAUGGUUAUUUAAUGCUUCCACAAAAAUUCCUCCUGGAACUCUGGUAACUUCACAGCUAGACGUGAGUAUAACUCAUUUUGGAGGUCUGGGAUAUUGCUCAUUCUCACUUCCUAGAUUUAUUUUUUUAAAAUAGGUAUUCAUAAGGGAAAAAAAAAAGGCAUAGCCAAGUAGGCAGAUAGAACUUCUAAGUAGUUCUACAUGAUCAUUUUAUUUUUAUUUAUUGGAUAUUUAUAAUUUAUUUUUUCUAUUCUCUCUUUGUUAUUGUUAAUGGUGCUAAUAAUAAUAUUAUUAUUUAUAUCUGAACUAAUAUCUAAAAUCAUUUGGUUAAAAUCCCCAAGGAUGGGCUCUGUGUUA